AUGCCUUGUGAUAAAGUUGUAUUAAUUUCAUCAUAAUUACAAUAGAAAAGAUGUCAAAAAGGAAUUAUGAUAGUUU
rnacentral:sRNA from 1 species